GUGUGUGUGUAUAUAUCCAUCAUCUUCAGAACAACCCACCAAACGGCUAUUAUUAGUUGUCAAUUAUAGACACUAAACCAUAACUUAACCCCUCUUUGGGAAGUGGGUGCUUUUUUUUUAUGUAAUUCUCACUUCUGUUUCGUAUGGAAGGGGUAAUUUGGCAAAAAUUGUGGCAUUUUGUUGAAUAGAUUGGUGCUUCUAAUGAUGUCUGAUGAUUACUAUUACACUUCAAAAAAGAGUGAUGAUAUUUGCCCUGAUGUUUGUGGCCAGCAGGAUUCACCCACAACAUUAAGCAUGUCAAGACUACGGUGUAUGCUUCGAGGAUUGGAUUUGAAGACUAUCAUCUUUUUGCUUGUGGUUGUGCCAAUGUUCGUAGUUGGCGCGUACUUGCAUGGGCAGAAAAUUACCUAUUUUUUCCGCCCCCUCUGGCAAUCUCCUCCGAAGCCCUUUAUUGAAAUUACUCACUAUUACCAUGAGAAUGUACCGAUGGAAAAUAUUUGCAAGCUCCAUGGGUGGGGAAUUCGUGAAUAUCCUAGGCAUGUCUUUGAUGCAGUUCUGUUCAGUAAUGAAGUAGAUAUGCUUAAAAUCAGAUGGAAGGAAUUGUAUCCUUACAUCACACAGUUUGUUCUUCUUGAGUCAAACUCAACGUUUACUGGGUUGCCUAAACUCCAUAAUUUUGCAACUAAUCGGGACCAAUUUAAGUUUAUUGAGCCUCGCUUGACAUAUGGAAACAUUCCGGGAAGAGCCAAAAAAGGUGAAAAUCCAUUUGUUGAAGAGGCUUAUCAGAGAGUAGCAUUGGACCAACUACUGAAACUCGCUGGCAUUGAGGAUGAUGAUUUGCUUAUAAUGUCUGACGUUGAUGAGAUUCCGAGCGCUCAUACUAUCAAUCUUUUGAGGUGGUGCGAUGACAUUCCUCAUGUCCUUCACCUUCAUUUGAGGAAUUACUUGUACUCGUUUGAAUUUCAGAUUAAGCACAGAAGCUGGAGAGCUUCAGUCCACAGGUAUGAGAGUGGCAAGACUAGAUAUGCACACUACCGUCAGGGUGAUUACCUUUUGGCAGAUGCAGGUUGGCAUUGUAGCUUUUGUUUCCGCCACAUUAGUGACUUUAUAUUCAAGAUGAAAGCUUACAGCCACAAUGAUAGAGUGAGGUUUUCACAUUAUCUGAAUCCUACAAGGAUUCAGGAUGUCAUUUGUAAAGGAGAUGAUUUAUAUGACAUGCUUCCUGAGGAGUACACGUUCAAGGAUAUUAUCGGCAGCAUGGGACCUAUCCCCCAUUCAUACUCGGCAGUUGAUCUUCCUUCUUAUCUGUUUGAAAAUCCAGACAAGUACAGAUAUCUUUUGCCUGGGAACUGCAAAAGAGAAAAGGGCUAAGUCUUAACACAGAGUUGGGAACUCUUCUUAACACAGGAGGAGGUGCUCAGGGGCAGAUUUUACGUUGCGCCUUGAGGGGCUCUAAUCAGAUAAGUGGUAAUCGUGGUUUACCAGUAUUAGAUACGGUUAUACCUUGUGUGCAGAAAGGUCGAAGGGAGGGGGUUUUUUCGUGAUACUGGUACAUUCAUUUGCCAAGAUGAAGAUUUUAUUUAGGGGAGGAGGACAUGAAGCUUUUCGGAUCCGACAGGGGUGUGGCAACAUUUUCCAGGAGUCCGAGCAGCAUAAUCUUUGCCUACUAGAUGACUAAGUGCUCAAGUCUAAUGUAUUCAAGGCAAGCCCUUUGAAGGAUAUUGCUCUUUCCAGAGCAUGAUCACAUGCUCCAAUUGCCUGGUGAUGCCCGUUGAGUGUAGCCGAGACCACAAUCCCUGGGGCACAAGUUAGAAGUACUGGCGGAUAAAAAUAUAAAUUUAUUAGGUUCAACCUUAAGUUCUUACUAUUGAACCUGCUACACUUUUGAAAUAAUGGAUUCCGAAUUUAAUAUUUGUUGAAACUUUUGUGAUUUUUCACAUAAAUAUUGAUAUUCCGUGAUUACCAAAUUUUAGUUAUUUUUCACAUUGUC